rnacentral:rRNA from 1 species
UGCAGUCGCACGAGAGAGGGUAGCAAUACCUGAGUACAGUGGCGCACGGGUGAGUAACACGUGAAUCAUCUACCUUCGAGUGGGGAAUAACUGGGAGAAAUCUCAGCUAAUACCGCAUAAUACCUACGGGUCAAAGCAGCAAUGCGCUUGAAGAGGAGUUCGCGGCAGAUUAGUUAGUUGGCGGGGUAAUGGCCCACCAAGACGAUGAUCUGUAUCCGGCCUGAGAGGGCGCACGGACACACUGGAACUGAAACACGGUCCAGACUCCUACGGGAGGCAGCAGUGGGGAAUUUUGCGCAAUGGGGGAAACCCUGACGCAGCAACGCCGCGUGGAGGAUGAAAUCCCUUGGGAUGUAAACUCCUUUCGAUUGGGAAGAUAAUGACGGUACCAAUAGAAGAAGCCCCGGCUAACUUCGUGCCAGCAGCCGCGGUAAUACGAGGGGGGCAAGCGUUGUUCGGAAUUAUUGGGCGUAAAGGGUGCGUAGGCGGUUUGACAAGUCUGAUGUGAAAUCUAUGGGCUCAACCCAUAGCCUGCAUUAGAAACUGUCGGGCUUGAGUAUGGGAGAGGUGAGUGGAAUUUCCGGUGUAGCGGUGAAAUGCGUAGAUAUCGGAAGGAACACCUGUGGCGAAAGCGGCUCACUGGACCAUAA